rnacentral:rRNA from 1 species
GAUGAACGCUAGCGGCGUGCCUAACACAUGCAAGUCGAACGUGAGAGGGUACUUGUAUCCUUGAAAGUGGCGGACGGGUGAGUAAGACGUAGGUGACCUGCCUCGAAGUGGGGGAUAACCAUUGGAAACGAUGGCUAAUACCGCAUAAGCUGGUGACGAUGGGAAUGGUUAUCAGGAAAGCUUUAGUGCUUUGAGAGGGGCCUACGGCCGAUUAGCUAGUUGGUGAGGUAAAGGCUCACCAAGGCGAUGAUCGGUAGCUGGUCUGAGAGGACGAUCAGCCACACGGGAACUGAGACACGGUCCCGACUCCUACGGGGGCAGCAGUGAGGAAUAUUCGGCAAUGGGGGCAACCCUGACCGAGCAACGCCGCGUGGAGGAUGACGGUUUUCGGAUUGUAAACUCCUUUUCUCAGGGAAGAGCGAGGACGGUACCUGGGGAAUAAGUCACGGCUAACUACGUG